GGCAUUCAUAAUCCCAAUCUGGGCCCGUGUACCUUACACAGUGUAGCCAUAAUCCUUCCUCAUGCCCAUCAUACCUGCCAUAAACACAAUAAUGAUCAUAGAUGGUUGAAACUGCAGAGAUGUGAGAUUCUUUACUUAAAAUAUUUUAU